GAUGAACGCCGGCGGUGUGCCUAAUACAUGCAAGUCGUACGCACUGGCCCAACUGAUUGAUGGUGCUUGCACCUGAUUGAUGAUGGAUCACCAGUGAGUGGCGGACGGGUGAGUAACACGUAGGUAACCUGCCCCGGAGCGGGGGAUAACAUUUGGAAACAGAUGCUAAUACCGCAUAACAAUAAAAGCCGCAUGGCUUUAUUUGAAAGAUGGCUUUGGCUAUCACUCUGGGAUGGACCUGCGGUGCAUUAGCUAGUUGGUAAGGUAACGGCUUACCAAGGCGAUGAUGCAUAGCCGAGUUGAGAGACUGAUCGGCCACAAUGGAACUGAGACACGGUCCAU
rnacentral:rRNA from 1 species